UGCAGUCGAGCGAGUGAAUUAACUGAUCCCUUCGGGGUGACGUUAAUGGAUCUAGCGGCGGACGGGUGAGUAACACGUGGGCAACCUGCCUGUAAGACUGGGAUAACUCGCGGAAACGUGAGCUAAUACCGGAUAACACUUCGAACCACAUGGUUUGAAGAUGAAAGGCGGCGCAAGCUGUCACUUACAGAUGGGCCCGCGGCGCAUUAGCUAGUUGGUGAGGUAACGGCUCACCAAGGCGACGAUGCGUAGCCGACCUGAGAGGGUGAUCGGCCACACUGGGACUGAGACACGGCCCAGACUCCUACGGGAGGCAGCAGUAGGGAAUCUUCCGCAAUGGACGAAAGUCUGACGGAGCAACGCCGCGUGAGUGAUGAAGGUUUUCGGAUUGUAAAACUCUGUUGUUAGGGAAGAACAAGUACAAUAGUAACUGAUUGUACCUUGACGGUACCUAACCAGAAAGCCCCGGCUAACUACGUGCCAGCAGCCGCGGUAAUACGUAGGGGGCAAGCGUUGUCCGGAAUUAUUGGGCGUAAAGCGCGCGCAGGCGGUCCUUUAAGUCUGAUGUGAAAGCCCACGGCUUAACCGUGGAGGGUCAUUGGAAACUGGAGGACUUGAGUGCAGAAGAGGAGAGUGGAAUUCCACGUGUAGCGGUGAAAUGCGUAGAGAUGUGGAGGAACACCAGUGGCGAAGGCGACUCUCUGGUCUGUAACUGACGCUGAGGCGCGAAAGCGUGGGGAGCGAACAGGAUUAGAUACCCUGGUAGUCCACGCCGUAAACGAUGAGUGCUAGGUGUUAGGGGGUUUCCGCCCCUUAGUGCUGAAGUUAACGCAUUAAGCACUCCGCCUGG
rnacentral:rRNA from 1 species